CAAAGGUCUUUAUUUUCCAUGUCUAUCCUUCCAGAAGAGGUAAAAGGAUCCCUUGUGACUAAGGAAGGAGCCAGAGGGGAACAUGCAGCUGAAACAGGGAAGAACUAAGAGACGAAACGCAGCCAUCAACAUCUGAUCACGCAGAGAGGCGGGAAAAGGAGACCAAGCAAAUGUCAUCAGGCUGACGCUUCUGUCUCUAGUGACCUUUGAAGAAGCGGUUUCUGCUGUGUGAUGGUGCAGGAUCCAGAUGGUAUGAAGCUGGAGGCUGAGUGGGCAGAGAGGAACAGAAGAAUCCCAGCAACCCGCGCUCAGAUAAGCCAGACAGUGAAGAAAACAUCAGGAGCGGGGCAAUGGAAGAAAUGCUAUGAGCAAUUUUGCCAAGCCACAUAUAGAUGCCCAAGCCCACUCCUAGCAGUCAUUCAAACAUUUUCAUCAUGACAUGAAAAGGGCACAUGCGCAAGAAGCCCCCGGGGAAGACAUCCGAGAAACGUGAGUGGAGGAAUCUACAGACUGCAAGAUCCUCUUCAAAGCAGCAGACUCCACUACAUCCCCUCCAUACUCGGAGAAGAAAACCAGCAUUGAUCCAGAGGAGCGAGCCAGCCCUGGUGAUGACUCAAAGGAAAGAAAGACCAUCGCUACAAUGAUCCAUCCAGAAAGUAACAUCCCUCUGCUAGCUCUUGAUCCCGAUGCUGAGCCGUAUAAUAGUUUGGUUGGAGUGCUAAGACAGAGCAUAUGAACAACCUCCCCUUCCCCUACAAUUUUCAAGAACCAUUUGAGGUUUUGAGGUGUCCUCCUCUUCUUUACGUCUCCCAAUAGAAGGCCCCAUCAAUGAGCAGGUUUCAUGAUGUUGUUGUUUAUACUGGAGUUUGAUUUCAACAUUUCUCCCUCUCUUCUUCCAAACACUACUGUAUAUCCCUAAACACUCCCUGAGCAGACUUAUGAAGUCACAGCUCACUAAUGGAGCUUUAGGACCACAGGGAAGAGCAGUAAAGCCGCAGAGAAAAGCAGAGGAGGUCAGAUCCAGGUGAGCCAGGCCUUCUUGUCUUGGGGUGAAGAGAGAAGAUGAGUGAUCAUCACUGAUGGGUGGAACUGUACACCAACACUGAGCCCACAGCCCAGACUGGUGGAAUGAGUGUGAUGCAUUUGCUCAUUCCAGAGCCUCAGUCCCCAUCCAUCCUCUCAACCUAGGACUCGCCCAACCACCACAGCAAGGUUUUGAUUUACCUCUCACAAUCACGGGUUAUACAGAAAGUAUAAGAUAGAAAUGUCACUCGGAUGUCCCUGGAUUUUCUGAAACUAGCCUUUACCUUGCCCACUAUGGAGACUGCAGUGUUCAGGGACAAUCUCAGACCAAACACCAUGCACUCAUAAGCGGGGCAUCCACCAGGGGAAAGACAUUGAAAGGGCCUACACAUUCUUCCUUUCACUGGUGAGUAAACAAACUCUCCCAGAGGCUAGAAGAGCUCUCAGGAUGUGAAGGACCAGUCCUGUUCUGCUGCAGGCCAAUAUGAUAUUGAGAUCUACACAGGAAGAGCACAGCUCAGAUACAUUGGAGUGAAUGUCCCAGGCAAAGGUCUUUAAAAGAUUUGGCUCUGUCUCAGAGAAUGACAGGGCUGUCAAAUUUUGUACACUUUCAGUUGGUCCCUUGUAGGUCAAGGGAGGUGAGCCUUCCUCAUUAUAAGCCUGCCUCCAGAAGUACCUUGGCCAAGGAAGGAUAAGGAUCCCUUGCCUGUUUUUUGUUUGUUUGUUUGAAUGUUUGAAAUCUUCUGUGGCCCCAAAUGGUAUUUGA